AAUGAACGCUAGCGGCAGGCUUAACACAUGCAAGUCGAGGGGCAGCACGGGUAGCAAUACCUGGUGGCGACCGGCGCAAGGGUGCGUAACGCGUGAGCAACAUGCCCUAUACAGGGGGAUAAUCCAGGGAAACUUUGGUCUAAUAUCCCAUAGCAUUUAGAGGAGGCAUCUUCACUAAAUUAAAGCUUCGGUGGUAUAGGAUUGGCUCGCGUGACAUUAGCUAGAUGGUGAGGUAACGGCCCACCAUGGCUAUGAUGUCUAGGGGUUCUGAGAGGAAGACCCCCCACACUGGGACUGAGACACGGCCCAGACUCCUACGGGAGGCAGCAGUGAGGAAUAUUGGACAAUGGAUGGAAAUCUGAUCCAGCCAUGCCGCGUGCAGGAAGACGGCCCUAUGGGUUGUAAACUGCUUUUAUAUGGGAGCAAUAAGGUUUACGAGUAGACCGAUGAGAGUACCAUAUGAAUAAGCAUCGGCUAACUCCGUG
rnacentral:rRNA from 1 species